ACGGGAGGCAGCAGUGGGGAAUAUUGGGCAAUGGGCGCAAGCCUGACCCAGCAACGCCGCGUGAAGGAUGAAGGUCUUCGGAUUGUAAACUUCUUUGAUCAGGGACGAAUAAAUGACGGUACCUGAAGAACAAGUCACGGCUAACUACGUGCCAGCAGCCGCGGUAAUACGUAGGUGACAAGCGUUAUCCGGAUUUACUGGGUGUAAAGGGCGUGUAGGCGGUUUGGCAAGUCAGAAGUGAAAUUCCCGGGCUUAACUUGGGCGCUGCUUCUGAAACUGCUUAACUUGAGUACUGGAGAGGAUAGUGGAAUUCCUAGUGUAGCGGUAAAAUGCACAGAUAUUAGGAGGAACACCGGUGGCGAAGGCGGCUAUCUGGACAGUAACUGACGCUGAGGCGCGAAAGCACGGGGAGCAAACAGGAUUAGAUACCCUGGUA
rnacentral:rRNA from 1 species